GCUUAACGCGAAGAACCUUACCCACACUUGACAUGCCUCUUUUGGCUUUCAGAGAUGAUUGCCUUCGGUUCGGCCGGGGUAGUGCACAGGUGCUGCAUGGCUGUCGUCAGCUCGUGUCGUGAGAUGUUGGGUUAAGUCCCGCAACGAGCGCAACCCUUAUCGUAUGUUGCCAGCAUUUAGUUGGGCACUCGUGCGAGACUGCCGGUGAUAAGCCGGAGGAAGGCGGGGUACGACGUCAAGUCAUCAUGGCCCUUACGUGUGGGGUCUAGAAACGUGCUACAAUGGGAGUGACAGUGAGCAGCGAGGUCGCGAGGCCAAGCUAAUCUCCAAAACGCUCUCUCAGUUCAGAUUGUAGUCUGCAACUCGACUACAUGAAGUUGGAAUCGCUAGUAAUCGCAAACUCAGCAUGUUGCGG
rnacentral:rRNA from 1 species